rnacentral:rRNA from 1 species
GAUGAACGCUGGCGGCGUGCCUAACACAUGCAAGUCGAGCGAACGGACGAGAAGCUCGCUUCUCUGAUGUUAGCGGCUGACAAGUGAGUAACACGUGGAUAACCUACCUAUAAGACUGGGAUAAACUCGGGAAACCGGCGCUAAUAACGGAUAAUAUUUUGAACCGCAUGGUUCAAAAGUGAAAGACGGUCUUGCUGUCACUUAUAGAUGGAUCCGCGCUGCAUUAGCUAGUUGGUAAGGUAACGGCUUACCAAGGCAACGAUGCAUAGCCGACCUGAGAGGGUGACCGGCCACACUGGAACUGAGACACGGUCCAAACUCCUACGGGAGGAAGCGGUAGGGAAUCUUCCGCAAUGGGCGAAAGCUUACCGGAGCAACGCCGCGGGGGGGAGGAGGGUCUUCGGAUCGUAAAACUCUGUUAUUGGGGAGGAAAGUAUGUGUAAGUAGCUGUGCACAUAUUGACGGUACCUAAACAGAAAGCCACGGCUAACUACGUG